UACGUAGGGUGCAAGCGUUGUCCGGAAUUAUUGGGCGUAAAGAGCUCGUAGGCGGUCUGUCGCGUCAGCUGUGAAAACUCGGGGCUCAACCCCGAGCCUGCAGUCGAUACGGGCAGACUAGAGUGCGGUAGGGGAGACUGGAAUUCCUGGUGUAGCGGUGAAAUGCGCAGAUAUCAGGAGGAACACCGGUGGCGAAGGCGGUUCUCUGGGCAUUACCUGACGCUGAGGAGCGAAAGUGUGGGGAGCGAACAGG
rnacentral:rRNA from 1 species